GGUGGCUUAGUAGCAGAGCACUUGCCUUGCAUGCAGGAGGCUCUGGGUUCGAUUCCCUAGCACCA
rnacentral:tRNA from 1 species